CCCCAAGGUACCAGUUAUCCAGCAUUUCUGUCCUGUGGGUUAAGGUCACUGGGAAGAGCUCUCAGAUGAUGCAAUUGUAGACCAGACCAUGCAUAUAUUAAAAUAGUGAGGUCUGAGGAAUAGGGGCAAAAUGGAGUUAGCAUCCUCUGCCUCCAUGGACUGGUCAGCUUAAACUGUCAGGCACAGGAAUAACUGGAUUGAAUGAGUAUUUAAACAUGCCAUAAUGACAACCUUAUCUCAACGGAAGAAGAACGCCUCCUGGGGAACAGGGGUGGCUCUUUAAGACUGGCAGACAGUGGUUAAUCCACAGGCAGAAUCAAGAUAAGAUCUGGUCUCCGCUUGGCUUCAACUAUCCCCUUAGCAUGUGAUCACUGCAUCCUCCAUGUGCAGUGCAUUGUGGGAGAGAGAGAAGCAAGCAUGCAUCCAUGAAGGAGUGUGGCAUGUGCUCAACAAGAGAAGGAACCCAUGAAGACCCCUGAUGUGCUCAGGGUCUAGUUGGGGAGAGCAAGGUCCACAGAACAAGGUGGAAGAUGAAGGCAGAAGCUGAUGUACCAGGAGACUCAUGGGUGUGGCAGCUCAGGUCUGUGAUCCCAGCACUUGGGUGGCAGAAACAGAACUUCUGAGUUUGAGACUACGAUGGGCUAGGCUACAGAGUGAGAUCAUGCCUCAACCAACCAACCAAUCAGAAUAACAAAAGGAAGAGACACAGUGAGAGACAGAAAAGGGAGAAG
rnacentral:lncRNA from 1 species